AGCAGCCGCGGUAAUUCCAGCUCCAAUAGCGCAUAUUAAAGUUGUUGCAGUUAAAAAGCUCGUAGUUGAACUUCGGGCUCGGCCGGGCGGUCCGCCCACAGGGCGAGUACUGCUCGCGCGUCGGGUCCCACCUUCUGGCGAGCGCGGAUGCCAUUAAGUUGGUGUCCGUGGGAACCAGGAUCUUUACCUUAGAAAAAAUUAGGGUGUUUAAAGCAGGCUUCAACGCUUGAAUACAUUAGCAUGGAAUAAUGAAAUAGGACGGCGGUUCUAUUUUGUUGGUUUCUGGGACCACCGUAAUGAUUAAUAGGGAUAGUUGGGGGCAGUUCGUAUUCAAUUGUCAGAGGUGAAAUUCUUGGAUUUAUUGAAGACGAACUACUGCGAAAGCAAUUUGCCAAGGAUGUUUUCAUUAAUCAAGAACGAAAGUUGGGGGAUCGAAGACGAUCAGAUACCGUCGUAGUCUCAACCAUAAACUAUGCCAACUGGGAAUCGGGCGAUGUUAAUUUUUGUGUACUCGCUCGGC
rnacentral:rRNA from 1 species